rnacentral:rRNA from 1 species
AGUGAACGCUGGCGGUAGGCCUAACACAUGCAAGUCGAACGGCAGCACAGUAAGAGCUUGCUCUUACGGGUGGCGAGUGGCGGACGGGUGAGGAAUACAUCGGAAUCUACUUUUUCGUGGGGGAUAACGUAGGGAAACUUACGCUAAUACCGCAUACGACCUACGGGUGAAAGCAGGGGAUCUUCGGACCUUGCGCGAUUGAAUGAGCCGAUGUCGGAUUAGCUAGUUGGCGGGGUAAAGGCCCACCAAGGCGACGAUCCGUAGCUGGUCUGAGAGGAUGAUCGGCCACACUGGAACUGAGACACGGUCCAGACUCCUACGGGAGGCAGCAGUGGGGAAUAUUGGACAAAGGGCGCAAGCCUGAUCCAGCCAUACCGCGUGGGUGAAGAGGGCCUUCGGGUUGUAAAGCCCUUUUGUUGGGAAAGAAAAGCAGCAGGUUAAUACCCCGCUGUUCUGACGGUACCCAAAGAAUAAGCACCGGCUAACUUCGUG